AAUCUUAUAUGCAUAGUAAUUGAC
rnacentral:tRNA from 1 species